rnacentral:lncRNA from 1 species
UCCCAUGUAUCCGCUACCCAGUUUCCCCCAGUGGAAAACUAUGGCACGUCUUGCAAAACUGUGGCACAAUAUCACAAUCAAGAUAUUGAUGUGGAUACAGUCAAGAUACCAAGAAUUUCCAUCACUACAAAGCAGGAACACCCCUUGGAGCAAUAACACCCAAAUACCUGAAAUGUGAAGAUGACAAGCAUGAGUAUCCUCUCCUUUUGUGCCUGAAUUUCCUGCUUUAAUCAGAAAAAAAUACUUUUAAAAAGUGCAGGCAAUGUUCUUUCAGGGUUCUCAAGCAAGAAAAACAUCCCUUUGCCCAUGUUGCUUCCACACCAUGCAGCUAAUCUUUGAUGACACAGAGUAACAUUUUACCAAUCUCAAUAACACCUGCCCUAAUGAAGUCCCUGCAUUGACAGACCUGUCUGAAGCCAGACUUCAAAACCUCAGCAAUAUCCUGACUGAGGUCUCCUCUCUCUGAGACAUUAGUAGGCUCUGUGAAGCGAGUGCUGCCCUCUUACCGCAUGGCUCUGUCCUGUUUACUGGUUGUGCAAGUAUAAUUUGGGAAGCCAGAAUUCACAGGAGAAACUUCAAACCUUCUACCUAUGGGAAAUUAAGAACCAGAAUUUCUGUAAGAAGUCGGAGAUAAAAUACAGGCAUGUGAGGCCUGGAGGAUUUCACUCAGAGGAAAAUUGCUCCCUUUUUUACCUUCUGCAUUUCCAUAGAGGAAGGCUGUGAACUGGUCAGUUGUAGACUGGCCAAGAACCUCAAGUUGUGCUGGAUCUGCAUGUAAAUUUGCUUUUAGCAGCAUGAAACUCAAGCAAUUUGACAAAUGAAUAGGAAACCCAACCACAGGGAAAAGGAAGUUCAGCCGAACGGUUGAAAGAACCGUUCUUAAAGGCUUCAAGAAACUUUAAGAGUGUGAGCCCAGUCUAUGGAAUUUUUAAACAUCUUUAAGACAAUUAGAUACUAACUGAACGUGCCAAUUUCUGUUAAUAUUACAGGAAACAUAUUGGUAGGAUGCUAGGUCACUACUGAAAACGUAACGUUAUCCUAAAAAUAAUUUAGAUUCUGGAUCAACUGAUUCAUGUGCCAUAACCAUGACAACAUUGUUCCAGCUGCUGUUUUUUCGCACGCAUAGUACUCUGCCUCCAUAAUUUAUUCUUUUCAUAAAUCUUCCAGGGGUGGCAUUAGUAACCCCACAUUUCAGAUAAGAAAACCGAGGGUUGGAAAGAUGAAGAAAUUUCCCCAAGCUCACAGAGCUGGUAAGUGACAGAACCUAGAUUGAAAUUGAGGCCUCUAACCAUUAAGCUAAAGUCUAAAAAGAAAUAAAUUUUAUUGUAUGAAUUUCGACAGUUUUAAGUAUUGCAAGUAAAUCCGAUGACCAAUAUCCCAACAUCAGAAUUCUGAUAGGUAGGAGAUAAAAAGAUACCUACUACCCUGGACUAAUUGCAAGCAAUUAUAAGUACAAAGGGCAUAUUCCACUAAGCUACCGGUGUUACACUCUACAUGAUGUUAAAACAGGAACGUGAUUCCUAACACACCCCAGCGUGGGUGCCACUCUAUAAUUACACUGUUAGCAGCUCUGUAAUGAGUACUUUCUUUUUACUCCUCCAAUCAAUACAAAUGCCUAUCAACGUAAAAUAGCCACGCAGCUUUCUACAGUCUAAAGAGUAAAAAGCAAUCCAGGAUGACAGAGUAUCUAUAAUAUAUUUAAGCAUAUUGCUUCUUUUUAAAAAUGCAUUACUGGUAUUAUUUCGCAUGUAUUGAGGAUGGUAAGCAUGUGGGAAUAAUUAGAACAAUGACCACCUCAGAUGGAAAACAUAGAUGCCUGGCUGUACUGAUAAUAAAAGGUGCUGUCGGAGGCAAAUCACACCCCAUUACGACACAAAUAGGAAACAUUAUUAAUGCUUAAUUCUGACUGUGUCAAGAAUCACUCUGCUUUCGUUCAUUGCUGAUAACAUCAUUGCCUUGACCUUAUUGCAAAAUUAAUGGUAGGCAUUAUAUUAUGUUAUAUUCAUCAUAGCAUAUUGAAAAUUUGUGUGUGUGUAUUUGUAGCCUUUGCAAUUUUUCUCUUUGUACUAACAUAUCGCUUAGUUGUAACUUUGUUCAAUGCUCUUUUAAAAAUGCAAAGCCUCAGAGCAAAACCAGAGAAAAACUCUUUUCGCAACAUUCAAAACUAUUUAAGACCAGCUUAAUUUAAAUUGCCAUGACCUGUAAUGACUCUUGUGAGCUGGGUCCUCAUUUGGUUUCUUGUUUUUUAACUGUAUAUACUUUGUGAUACAUAGCUAAAGACAAUACUAUAGGAAGUAAGGAUUUUUUGUAACUCAUUUAACCUCUUUUUACUAAAAAUUGAUGGUAAUUUUUAAGUAGUGUAACUAGAAACCUUUAUCUGAAUCUUCCCUGGCAACUGUUUUGGGUCCUUCUCUUCUGGCCUUACACCAUCUCUCUAUGCCUGGAUAUAUGGCUCCUGCUGCAAGACCCUUAUUCAGUCUUAGUUCAUGCUUGACAAGUUCCUGGAAGGACAGUCUUUUGAUGUUGAGUCUUCUUUUGUUAAUGUUAGGAAUGCCUAUGUAAUGAUGACCUGUAUUCAUUGUAGUGACUUGUGGUUUUUGGUUUUUUUUUUUUUUUGGUUGGUUGGUUGGUUUCUCCUUUGGCAUA